AAGGUCUAUGUGUCUACUUUCUAAUUCUUCACACCGUUUGUCAUUUGGAGAUUCCUACAAGAAGUUAUGACCUUUUUACUAAAGGGUGACAGAACAUCUAUGCUAGUCUUCAAAUUGGAAUUGAUUUCUAGAGAGAAGGAGGAGCUCUUCCACCAUGGAUACACUUCAAGGAAAUGGGUUGAAUCUUCAAGAACACCAAAAAUAGAAAAAGUGUGAUUCUUCCACCAAGAGGUAUGGAAUUGUGGGUGAUAUUUGGACAUUUUAAUCAAUUGGAGCAUUGUGUAUUUUCGGAUCUUGAAGGUUGAGGAUAAGGUAUGGUACGUGGCAUACAGACAUGGCUAGGACGACUAUCUUCCUGAGGUAUAUGGCAAUGCACCACCUCUAUUUCCGUGAUAGCUAUCAUGAUAUUUCUUAAUUUAUGUUAGUCGGGCAUUAGCCCAAGUGUUUAGUUCUAUUCCUUGGUAUAGAGGCUCCAUAGAUAGUUGUGAAAAGUUGUAGU